CCUACGGGGGGCAGCAGUGGGGAAUAUUGGACAAUGGGGGGAACCCUGAUCCAGCCAUGCCGCGUGUGUGAAGAAGGCCCUCGGGUUGUAAAGCACUUUCAGUGAGGAAGAACGCCUGGUGGUUAAUACCCAUCAGGAAAGACAUCACUCACAGAAGAAGCACCGGCUAACUCCGUGCCAGCAGCCGCGGUAAUACGGAGGGUGCGAGCGUUAAUCGGAAUUACUGGGCGUAAAGCGCGCGUAGGUGGCUUGAUAAGCCGGUUGUGAAAGCCCCGGGCUCAACCUGGGAACGGCAUCCGGAACUGUCAAGCUAGAGUGCAGGAGAGGAAGGUAGAAUUCCCGGUGUAGAGGUGAAAUGCGUAGAGAUCGGGAGGAAUACCAGUGGCGAAGGCGGCCUUCUGGACUGACACUGACACUGAGGUGCGAAAGCGUGGGUAGCAAACAGGAUUAGAUACCCCUGUAGUC
rnacentral:rRNA from 1 species